AAACUUGAGAGUUUGAUCAUGGCUCAGAACGUACGCUGGCGGCACGCCUAACACAUGCAAGUCGAACGAAGUAGCAAUACUUAGUGGCAGACGGGUGAGUAACAUGUAGGUAUCUGCCCUUUGGCCUGGAAUAACACGAGGAAACUUGUGCUAAUACCGGAUAAGUCUUUACGGAGAAAGCUUUAUGCACCAUUGGAUGAGCCUGCACUUGAUUAGUUUGUUGGUGGGGUAAUGGCCUACCAAGACUGUGAUCAAUAGCUGAUUUGAGAGGAUGAUCAGCCACAUUGGGACUGAGACACGGCCCAAACUCCUACGGGAGGCAGCAGUGGGGAAUCUUGCACAAUGGAGGAAACUCUGAUGCAGCGAUGCCGCGUGAGUGAAGAAGGCCCUUGGGUUGUAAAGCUCUUUCGUCGGGGAAGAAAAUGACUGUACCCGAAUAAGAAGGUCCGGCUAACUUCGUGCCAGCAGCCGCGGUAAUACGAAGGGACCUAGCGUAGUUCGGAAUUACUGGGCUUAAAGAGUUCGUAGGUGGUUGAAAAAGUUAGUGGUGAAAUCCCAGAGCUUAACUCUGGAACUGCCAUUAAAACUUUUCAGCUAGAGUAUGAUAGAGGAAAGCAGAAUUUCUAGUGUAGAGGUGAAAUUCGUAGAUAUUAGAAAGAAUACCAAUUGCGAAGGCAGCUUUCUGGAUCAUUACUGACACUGAGGAACGAAAGCAUGGGUAGCGAAGAGGAUUAGAUACCCUCGUAGUCCAUGCCGUAAACGAUGUGUGUUAGACGUUGGAAAUUUAUUUUCAGUGUCGCAGGGAAACCGAUAAACACACCGCCUGGGGAGUACGACCGCAAGGUUAAAACUCAAAUGAAUUGACGGGGACCCGCACAAGUAGUGGAGCAUGUGGUUUAAUUCGAAGAUACGCGCAGAACCUUACCAACACUUGACAUGUUCGUCGCGACUCUAAGAGAUUAGAGUUUUCGGUUCGGCCGGACGAAACACAGGUGCUGCAUGGCUGUCGUCAGCUCGUGUCGUGAGAUGUUGGGUUAAGUCCCGCAACGAGCGCAACCCUCACUUUUAGUUGCCAUCAUUAAGUUGGGCACUCUGAAAGAACUGCCAGUGAUAAGCUGGAGGAAGGUGGGGAUGACGUCAAGUCCUCAUGGCCCUUACGUGUUGGGCUACACACGUGCUACAAUGGUAUCUACAACAGGAAGCAAAACUGCGAAGUUAAGCAAAUCCCUAAAAGAUACCUCAGUUCGGAUUGCACUCUGCAACUCGAGUGCAUGAAGCUGGAAUUACUAGUAAUCGUGGAUCAGCGUGCCACGGUGAAUGCGUUCCCGGGUCUUGUACACACCGCCCGUCACACCAUGGGAGUUGGUUCUACCUUAAGGCAAGGUUUCAAACCCUUGACCACGGUAUAGUCAGCGACUGGGGUGAAGUCGUAACAAGGUAGCCGUAGGGGAACCUGCGGCUGGAUUACCUCCUUU
rnacentral:rRNA from 2 species